rnacentral:lncRNA from 1 species
GCUGGGUCUGGCCGCGGGCGGGGAAGCAGGAAUCCUCGGUCAUCUUCCAAGUGGGCUGCUUUCUGCGAUAGCUUCCUGUCCCCCUCCGACCCAUUCCUCCCAAGCGACUAAAACUCCUAAUGACAUUAUUUUAAAGCCUUCAAAACCCUCUUCCAUUGCCCUUAGAAUAAAGCCAAGUUGUGAUUUCGCCUCUACAGACCUCUCUACCCGCCCAGCUCUUCCUCGGAUAUUCUCCUAAACCAGAAGCUGCAGAGAAGGAAGGAUUUGGGAUUUGCGGCUACACAGCCAAGGACGCUUUUGUCAUCUUCAAAGGACCCCCUACACCCUACACGCUUGGCCCGCUCUGUUCAUUGCCAACAGAGUGAUGGUUGAAUGCAUUCACAUGGUUCCAAAUUCAAAUAAACAGCAAGAAGUCUCCCUCCCACCCUGUCUGCCACCCACUUGGUUUUCCUUCUCUGGAGGCAACCUGGGUUAGUGGUCAGAAGAUGCAUUUAACUGUUUUCCAGCUGAGGCCUUGUGAGAACUCCUCGGACACCAAUUUAAAUCUUUAUGUCCAGAACUCCUUUCUCCAAUCCAGGUAGAGCCACUCCCCUAUCCUAUCCCCACUCCCACCCUUCCCCCCUUCAGCCUCAAUCCUAAGCAGGCUCUAUUAACAAUGAUGAGCCACCAUUUCCUCGAGCUACUAACAAAUGCAAAUGUUUAAAUACUUUGUGGUUCUUUUUCCUCUUCUACAUUAAUUGCUAACAUUUAUCGAGGGCUUUCCGUGUGCCACGCACUGUGCUAAAUACUAGGCAUGCAUAUUCUUAUUUAAUCUGCCCCAAAUCUUCAUCAUUAUCCUUAUUUACAGAUGCAGACAGAAAUGAAAGUUCAGAGAGAUUAUGUAAUUUGCACCAAUUUGCAUCCAGGCCAACCUGAAUCCAAACGGUCUCACUCUUGUCAGCCCAGAUGGCAUGCAGUGGCACAGUCUAUGGAGGCAAUCAGGGUUAGCUGUCAGCUCACUGUGGCCUCAACCUCCCAGGCGCAAGUGAUCCUCCCACCUCAGCAUCCCCAGUAGCUGGGACUACAGGUGUACGCCACUACCCCCAGCUAAUUUUUGUAUUUUUUUGUAGAGAUGAGGUUCCACCAUUCUUGCCCAGACUGGUUUCGAACUCCUGGACUCAAGCGAUUUGCCUGCCUCGGCCUCAAAAAGUGCUGGGAUUACAUGCAUGAGCCACCACACCCGGACCCUCUCUCUUAAAUAGUGGCCCUUUUGCCUCUCUGCAACACAGGAAAAAUUCUGUUAGCCUGCAUCAGAAGGAGUGGCAUGGAGGCUUUGGAGUUAAGAAGAUUUAAUUCAAAUUAUGUGUCCGGUGCCUGCCAGCAAUGAGACCUUGGUAAGGUUUCUUAACCUCUCUGAGCUGGGACCAUACCUUCUGCGUUGGUUUAAUAUAAAGGUUAAAUGCAUGUAAAUAAAUGACUUCUAAAAUAAAUAACAUUCUAAAAUGUUAGUAACAACUAAAUACAAUAUUUAGAUCUUGUGAGGAUUUGAUUUGAAUAAAUAAGAUUUUUUUAAAAGACAUUUUUGAGACAAAAUGUAGACUAUCUGAUAUUAAGAAAUUAAUCACUUUUUCAGAUAUGAUAAUGGCAUUGCAGUUUUUUUUAAGUUCUUAUCUAUUACAGAUACAUAAUGAGGCAUUUUGAGUGAAAAUAUAUCUAGGAUUUGCUUUCCAAUACUCCAUCCCCUCCCCAUCAAAACACUAAAUAAAUGAAACAAGAUUAGUGAAAUACGGAAAAUUGUUGAAGUUAUUCAUUAUUCCAUUUCCCAUAUGGAACUUUCCAUACUAGUUUCCCUACUGCUGUUGAAUAUUUGACAUGUUUCAAAUACAUUUGAAAUAAAUUUAUUGUCUGAGAUGAUCAGGUUGAAAAAUAAUAAAAUGAAAUAAAUUUAAAAGUAAAAUAAACAUAACCCUUUUAAGCAUUAAAAUUAAAAAUUAUGAGGCUUGUUGAAUUAUUACUGUUAUAAAUAAUUACAUACAUGUAUUUUUGAAACAGUCUUGCUCUUUCACCCAGGCUGCAGUGCAGUGGCAUAAUCACAGUUCACUGCGGCCUCAACCUCCCAGGCUCAGGUGAUCCUUGCACGUCUGCCUCCCAAGUAGCUGGGACUGCAGGUGUGCACCACCAUGCCUGGCUAAAUUUUUCUCUUUUGUAGAGACGGGUUUUGCGAUUUUGCCCACACUGGUCUUAAAGUCCUGGG